UGCAAUAAAUGGACAAUUAUCUAAGAAGGUUGAUAUCUAUAGCUAUGGAGUUGUAGUCCUCGAAAUUAUUAGUGGUCGAAAAAGUGAAGAAUUGAAUGUUAAUGGUGAAGCCGAGGGUGAAUUCCUCCUUCAGAAGGCAUGGAAACUAUAUGAAAGAGGCAUGCAUUUAUAGUUGGUGGACAAUACUUUAGACUCUAACGACUAUGCUGCAGAAGAAGUAGAGAAAAUAAUUGAGAUUGGUUUGCUUUGCACCCAAGCAUCAGCUGCAAUAAGGCCGAC